AUGGCGGGGGCUGCGGACGGUCGGGGCCCCAGGCCAGGGCGGUGGUGCCAUCUUGUGCCCAGGGCCGGUGGGGAGGCCGGGGAGGGGACCCCGGGGGGCACAGGGGACUACGGGAAUGGCCUGGAGUCUGAGGAACUGGAGCCUGAGGAGCUACUGCUGGACCCCAAGCCAGAGCCCAAGCCCGAAGAGGAGCCGCCCCAGCCCGACACCCCCACUCCUGCAGGAGCUCCGGGCCCUGGGCCUGGUUCGGGAGCCCCUGGCAGCCAAGAGGAGGAGGAGGAGGAGCUGGGACUGGUCGAGGGUGACCCGGGGUACGGUGCCAUUGAGGACCAAGAACUGGAAACUAUCAAAACUCGAGUCAGGGAGAUGGAAGAAGAAGCUGAGAAGCUAAAGGAGCUACAGAACAGAGGUAGAGAAGCAGAUGAAUACAAGUCCACCUCUAGGCAAUGCUGGCCCAGUGAUCAUGUCAUUGAAGAGAAGAUGGAGGCUGAUGCCCGUUCCAUCUAUGUUGGCAAUGUGGACUAUGGUGCAACAGCAGAAGAGCUGGAAGCUCACUUUCAUGGCUGUGAUUCAGUCAACCGUGUCACCAUACUCUGUGACAAAUUUAGUGGCCAUCCCAAAGGGUUUGCAUAUACAGAGUUCUCAGACAAAGAAUCAGUGAGGACUUCCUUGGUCUCAGAUGAGUCCCUAUUUAGAGGAAGGCAAAUCAAGGUGAUCCCAAAACGAACCAACAGACCAGGAAUCAACACAACAGACCGGGGUUUCCCACGAGCCCGCUACGGCGCCCAGACCACCAACUAUAACAGUUACCUCUCUCGAUUCUACAGUGGUUUUAACAGUAGGCCCCAGGGUCGCGUCUACAGGGGCCGGGCUAGAGCAACAUCAUGGUAUUCCCCUUACUAAAAAAGUAUUAGGAGAAGAGAGAAGAAAAAAAGAGGAAAGGAGGGGAAAAAAAAGAAU